AUGGUGCCGACAACUGCCUUUGUCUCUGAUCGACACGACCAAGCUCCUAACCGUCUUUGUUUUGCCUCGAUUUGUUUCUGUCUGAUUCGCCUCAGCGUCGAUGGCUUCAAGAAUAUACUCCCAUCCCUCCCGUCUUCAAAUCGUGAUUUCACAUCAUUUAUCCAUUCCGUUUCUCCAUAUCAUGGUACCGAUUCUCCUUAA